rnacentral:lncRNA from 1 species
CUGGAAGGAAGGUAGAGGACUGGAAGGAGGGUAGAGGACUGGAAGGAGGGUAGAGGACUGGAAGGAGGGUAGAGGACUGGAAGGAGGGUAGAGGACUGGAAGGAGGGUAGAGGACUGGAAGGAGGUACCUGGAAGGAGGGUAGAGGACUGGAAGGAGGGUAGAGGACUGGAAGGAGGGUAGAGGACUGAAAGGAGGGUAGAGGACUGGAAGGAGGGUAGAGGACUGGAAGGAGGGUAGAGGACUGGAAGGAGGGUAGAGGACUGGAAGGAAGGUAGAGGACUGGAAGGAGGGUAGAGGACUGGAAGGAGGGUAGAGGACUGGAAGGAGGGUAGAGGACUGGAAGGAGGGUAGAGGACUGGAAGGAAGGUAGAGGACUGGAAGGAGGACUGAAAGGUCCUGAUAACAAUCCUGACAACUCAAUGAACUAUUCCUGAAAUAUUCACUUACUAGAAACAAUGUGAAUAUCAAACUCACAAAAACGAUCAUUCAUAAUUACACACACUUCUUUUAAUAUGUACAUAAAAUGUGCUAAUUUUGACGGCAGCCAUUUUCUUUUUUAAAGAACCAGAUAGAUAAAGUUGUCAAGGUCACACCGCUUAAAUACAGUGGCUUGCAUGGUUGUAUGGCCAGAGAGGACAUCACCCCUCCAGCUGUAAAUAAAAUGAAACACACAAAAAAAAAAUGAACUUAAAAAGAAGCUUUUUAAAAAGAAAAACAGUGAGAGAGAGAGCAAUGUAGCGGGAGGACUGGGCUUCCCAGUUGAUCUAGCUAAUGUUAGUUAACUAGCUAGCUAGUUAGCUACAUUGUUGACACUGCAGCUAGCUUAGCCAGCGUAACUCAUGGCAACAUAAUAUGAUAGCUAAUUAGCUAUUGCCACACACAACUGAUUAAUCUGUUCACUCUUUAAGCCAAUGACAAGGUGGCUAGCUAGCCAACGAGCAGAGAUCAUACGGGGAGCUAAACACAGGAGAUGAAAAAAUUCUGUCAGAUUCUGGGUUAGCCAAAGCAAGCUAGCUAGCUAGUUAGCUUCCUAGCCAUUUCAUUUGCACUCACCCUCAAAACACAAUUUCAACAGCAGAAUGAAAGUAUCUCAGUAAAAUACUUGUCUUACUCCAGAAAUAUACACAACAUGCCCAAAAGUAUAUGGACACCUGCUCGUCGAACAUCUCAUUCCUAAAUCAUUGGCAUUAAUAUGGAGUUGGGGACUGAUGUUGGGCGAUUAGGCCUGGAUCGUAGUCAGCGUUCCAAUUCGUCCCAAAGGUGUUCGAUGGGGUUGAGGUCAGGGCUCUGUGCAGGCCAGUCAAGUUCUUCCACAUGGAUCUCGACAAACCAUUUCUGUAUGGGCCUCUCUUUCUCUCUCUCUCUCUCUCUCUCUCUCUCUCUCUCUC